GAAUGUUAUAGCUCUUUUAGAGUUUGUCUAGUAGGUUUUCUGACAUUUGCUGGAAAACCCAU
ensembl:snRNA U7 U7 small nuclear RNA